UGUGGUGUAAGUGAUGACUGACUUUUUUCCCCAUCAGAGCGACAGUGUUGAUUUCUCACUGUUCAAGCCAAAUCAUGUCUGAUGCACCAGU
rfam:Balearica pavonina gibbericeps contig6903, whole genome shotgun sequence.